CCCACUUGACAUAAAUCCCCAUUACAGAGAUUCAUCGAUCCAUCAGAGUCGAAGGACAGCACAUCUGAAACAUAUAAUUAGCAUCUUUCUUUCUGAUUCUAAGCUUAGGAUUACCUUUUUCCCACAUGUGACUUUCUUUUAAGAGAGAACGUGCUGGUAGAACUGAUGCUAGCAUCUGGUUUUGGUUUUCUGAGUAUGAGGCAUGUGAGAUCUUAGCUACCCAACCAGGGAUGGAAUCCCAUACACACUUCAUUGGAAAGUGAAAUCUCAGCCACUGGACCACCAGGACUGCUAAAAUUCAUCUUGGAAACCUGUUGUGAGGGUUGGAAACUGCGCACAAUGACUACAGGAGUACCUGACAUCGAAGGGGGUCAUUAGGUUUCUAGUUGGAAUUGGACUAGGAUAAGCAGGUCAAGCUCUAAUACUUCCAUGACCAGAAGGCACGCUAUUUGCAAGUGUGGGAUGAAUUUUUACCACAAAAGUACAAUGCACAAAGCAGAGAAAGGAUCAAGUGAAGAUGCAAGAUCACACAUCUUAAAGGAGUCUGAGUGCCAUGGUGCUGAAGGCCAAAUGCAUUCUAAGUUUUCGUCUCUACCUCUCUUAAGUCUAGAAAGAAACUCCACAUCUGCCAUCCCCAGUACCUACAACUCACAGAUACCACUGGAAGGAAAUGAAUUCUGUUACUAAUCAGCGAGGAUGCAAGGGAUUUGUGAGCCUCAGAGGAAAAUAUAGCUCCAAACAACACCAUGACUGCAGGCUAAAGAAACCCUGAGUAAGACUGAGUUAGCCUACAUUCAGACUUCUGACCUACAGAAUGGUGAAUAUUCUGUAUUGCCAUUGUGAACAUUAUAACAAACAGAAACCACGAUUUAAAAGUUGGGAAGCCAGAAGGGGGAGCUGCCAUGCCCUGCAACAAUGGAAGUGUCCAAGAGGAAGAAGAAAGACUUCCUGCCUGACAAGAGCUCAUCCAUAAGAGGCUGUCACAGUAAGUCAAUGGAAAGCCACUACACACUUUGAACUCUAAAUUUUCCCAGAGGACUCUUUUCUGCUCCCCACCCCCGCCCCACCAUCCUUUUACCCUCUUUAAAAGAGUUCUCCUCUCCUUACUAUGAGGGGAUUUACAUACGGUUCACCUUGGUUGCAGAUUCCAAAAGGCAAUUCUUGGCUGAUCUUGAAUAAAUCUAUCUUCUGCUGGAG
ensembl:lncRNA